GUCUACAGCCAUACCACCCUGAAUGCACCUGAUCGCAUCUGAUUUCAGAACCUAAGCAGGGUCAUGCUUGGUUACUAUUUGGAUGGGAUGCAACUCCUUCCACCUGACUGCUUUGAACA
rnacentral:rRNA from 1 species